ACAAUUUCUGAUGUAUAUUUUUAUUAUUUUUAACGAAGUUUUCACAUGUGGAGUGUAUUUGCUGUUGGCUCACUCGUAACGAUGUUUUCUUGGCCUUUCUGCAUCCCUGGGUGGAGGGGAGGAUUUAGUCGGGGCCAAUUUGGGGGCAGCUCUCCAUUCCUCGCAGUGACUGCUACCUGGGUUUUGGAAGCAGUUUAUUGCAGGGACGUGCUCGGUGUGGCAGCACCCUCGCCCGUCCCCUCGCAUUCCUGUGCCAGCAAGUAAAGACCUGCUGCCCGCCUUGUAGAACUAGCUUGUAAACCAGCAAGGGAAGAUUUCAGAGCUCUUGCUGAAUUUGAGCGAUUCUGGAAAUUCGGCUAGGAGUGGGAAAAACUUCCUUAAUGAAAGGAAAUAGGACCUGUAACCAAAUCCAGGAUAAAAGUAAAAGCACCCAGGCAGAAAGAGGGUCACACAGACACCAAGUUAAGAGGCUGGG